rnacentral:rRNA from 1 species
AAUCUUUGAACGCACCUUGCGCUCCUUGGUAUUCCUUGGAGCAUGCCUGUUUGAGUAUCAUGAAAUCUUCAAAGUCAAUCUUUUGUUAACUCAAUUGGUUGUGCUUUGGUAUUGGAGGUAUAUUGCAGCUUUCACACCCUGCUCCUCUUUGURCA